CAAGUCUACGCAGGGCUCUUAUCGAUAAUCCCUCACCGUGCUCAGUAUUUGCUCGCAGGAGCUGCAGCAGGGAUCGGCGCUUGGUUUUCCUGGGCACCGUGCUCACAGGCAGCACCGGAUCCCCCCCAGUUUUUUGGAUCAAACUGCAACAGGAACUGCUGAAGUGUGUGGGAGAGGAAAGGGGGGAAAGGGGCAAUUAAGGCAAGCUCCUGCCAUUGCCUACAUAGAUGGCUUGUCCUCUGAGACAUCACCUCCUGAAGAAAACAGCACCGUUGGUUCAGAAGGCCCGACGAGGCCCUCGAGCUAAAUACCAGCACUGCCAGACCCGGGGGAGGCAUCUCGCCCUGCAGAAGACUGGAAAACCAAGCCCUACCUGGGCAUUAUACUAGGACUUCUUUAACAUCCACAGAAAGGACGCAUCCCAGUACUUCCAGUCCACUUUCACGCUGGCAUUACCACUCUCUACCCUUGUUCACAGAGAUUUUAUCUGCAUCCGGAGAGUCUGGCAGAAGAGGAUGGAGUGAAUUUCGCAUUAUGGAGUCACUAGGCAGUGCACGUGCGAGGGCACUGAAGACACAAGACAGUUCACAGUUAUUUAUUACGCUUCUUUUUUUCUUUACACCGGAUUCGGAACUGCAAAUCUGGAGCCGUGGGCAGAUCCCAGCACUCAUUGCUAACACUGGACAGAAAUAAAACAGGAGUUCCUCCUGUAGGAAGAGAAGCCAUCCAUCCGUGCCCAGGGCUAAAGGCAGUGUUCGUAACAAAUUGCCUGACUAGUUUAUCUUCCUUAUGUCCAUAUCACAACUCUCUCAAAUUAUUUUUCUGCUGCUAAAUCCCCCUGUGGUUCUGGGUCACUCAUUGAAAGUCAAACCCGGAGCCUGCUUGUGGUGGAGCACAGGCAUGGGCACUGCUUGCCUCCAGAGUACGGCACCACUGCACCUAGGGCCUUGCAUGAUUAAUUGUGGGAAGCGGGAUCUUUGUACAAACACUUUUAAAGGAGAAUGUGAUUAAACUUAAAAGGUAUCUUCUAGGAAUAUUUGUACCAGAGAGACUUGAUCACGCAAGGAGAGAGAACUAGCCAUGCUACAAAAGGAAAUUAGCUUAAAGAAGAACAUUUCAAUCAACAAUCAACAGC